rnacentral:lncRNA from 1 species
CUCGAUCAUACACUAGACUCUACUAUAGCGAUCACUACACUAACAUUACAGAUAUAGAUCAUAACCUAACAUCUACUAUAUAGAUCAUACACUAACAUCUACUAUAAUAGAUCAUACACUAUAUAGAUCAUACACUAUAUAGAUCAUACACUAACAUCUACUAUAUAGAUCAUAUCUCUAUAGUCUCACUAAGAACACUAAGCACUCUACGUAAUAUGAGCAUACAACUACACUCUAUAC